UUAAUUGAAGAGUUUGAUCAUGGCUCAGAUUGAACGCUGGCGGCAGGCCUAACACAUGCAAGUCGAGCGGAAACGAGUUAUCUGAACCUUCGGGGAACGAUAACGGCGUCGAGCGGCGGACGGGUGAGUAAUGCCUAGGAAAUUGCCUUGAUGUGGGGGAUAACCAUUGGAAACGAUGGCUAAUACCGCAUAAUGCCUACGGGCCAAAGAGGGGGACCUUCGGGCCUCUCGCGUCAAGAUAUGCCUAGGUGGGAUUAGCUAGUUGGUGAGGUAAUGGCUCACCAAGGCGACGAUCCCUAGCUGGUCUGAGAGGAUGAUCAGCCACACUGGAACUGAGACACGGUCCAGACUCCUACGGGAGGCAGCAGUGGGGAAUAUUGCACAAUGGGCGCAAGCCUGAUGC
rnacentral:rRNA from 1 species